rnacentral:rRNA from 1 species
AAGGUAGCAUAAUCAUUAGUUUCUUAAUUGGAAGCUGGAAUGAAAGGUUGGAUGAGAAAAUAACUGUCUCUAUUUAAGUUUAUUAGAAUUUUAUUUUUAAGUAAAAAAGCUUAAAUAAUAAUUGAAGACGAGAAGACCCUAUAGAGUUUUAUAAAUAUAGUUAUUUAAAAUUUUAGUAUUAUAAAAGUUAAUAGCUUAUUUUAUUUGAUUGGGGUGAUUGAAAAAUUUAAUAAACUUUUUYUUUACAGAAACAUUAAUUUAUGAUUAAUUGAUCCUUUUUUUAAGAUUAUAAGAUAAAAUUAC